CCUACGGGUGGCAGCAGUGAGGAAUAUUGCUCAAUGGGCGCGACCCUGAACCAGCCAAGUCGCGUGAGGGAAGACGGGCCUAUGGAUUGUAAACCUCUUUUGUCGGGGAGCAAAAGACGCCACGCGUGGCGUUACGAGAGUACCCGAAGAAAAAGCAUCGGCUAACUCCGUGCCAGCAGCCGCGGUAAUACGGAGGAUGCGAGCGUUAUCCGGAUUUAUUGGGGUUAAAGGGUGCGCAGGCGGAAGAUCAAGUCAGCGGUAAAACUGAGAGGCUCAACCUCUUCGAGCUGUUGAAACUGGUUUUCUGGAGUGAGCGAGAAGUAUGCGGAAUGCGUGGUGUAGCGGUGAAAUGCAUAGAUAGCACGAAGAACUCCGAUUGCGAAGGCAGCAUACCGGCGCUCAACUGACGCUCAUGCACGAAAGUGUGGGUAUCGAACAGGAUUAGAUACCCUAGUAGUC
rnacentral:rRNA from 1 species